UUACGACCAUAUCGCGUUGAAACACCGGUUCUCGUUCGAUCACCGAAGUUAAGUAACCUCCGGUCUUGUUAGUGCCUAGAGGGGUGACUUUUUAGGAAAGCCAGCUGUUGUAA